rnacentral:lncRNA from 1 species
UGUCUGUCCGAAUUCUUGGGGAAGCUGAGGAAACCAGGGCUGUGACUGUGAUAUAUGUCAUGCUCUCUGUAGCUUGCCAUGCCUGUGACACUAUGCCCUCUCCCUGGGAUUCUGCAGUCUUCCUGGCUGCUCUAGAAGCCAAGGAGAUUCCACCCCAUGUAAAAUGCUCCUGGGGUGGCCUACUGACCUGGAUUCUCCUCUCAACAUCUUGACCCCAACCACCUCUGCUGUCAAACUACACAUGGCCCAGGUGACUUCUCCCACAAAUGGGAGAGGGAAUCAGAGCAUUUCAUAGUCAGAGCAGAGGCCCUGGGGAGAUGCCCAUCUGCAGCAGACUUGGGACAACUG